rfam:Arthrobacter sp. Soil736 contig_3, whole genome shotgun sequence.
CGCGGUCCUCGGUAGUGAUCCCCGGGAAGCUUCGUUGACUGAAGCCCGGCCCGUGGGUCUCGAUCGAUGACCGGG